UACAGAGGUCUCAAGCGUUGUUCGGAUUCAUUGGGCGUAAAGGGUGCGUAGGCGGUUUGUCGCGUCUGCUGUGAAAACUCGGGGCUUAACCCCGGGCCUGCAGUGGGUACGGGCAGACUAGAGUGCGGUAGGGGAGACUGGAAUUCCUGGUGUAGCGGUGAAACGCGCAGAUAUCAGGAGGAACACCGGUGGCGAAGGCGGGUCUCUGGGCCGUAACUGACGCUGAGGAGCGAAAGCGUGGGGAGCGAACAGG
rnacentral:rRNA from 1 species